UACACUCCUACGGGAGGCAGCAGUGGGGAAUUUUGGACAAUGGGCGAAAGCCUGAUCCAGCCAUGCCGCGUGCAGGAUGAAGGCCUUCGGGUUGUAAACUGCUUUUGUACGGAACGAAACGGCCUUUUCUAAUAAAGAGGGCUAAUGACGGUACCGUAAGAAUAAGCACCGGCUAACUACGUGCCAGCAGCCGCGGUAAUACGUAGGGUGCAAGCGUUAAUCGGAAUUACUGGGCGUAAAGCGUGCGCAGGCGGUUAUGUAAGACAGUUGUGAAAUCCCCGGGCUCAACCUGGGAACUGCAUCUGUGACUGCAUAGCUAGAGUACGGUAGAGGGGGAUGGAAUUCCGCGUGUAGCAGUGAAAUGCGUAGAUAUGCGGAGGAACACCGAUGGCGAAGGCAAUCCCCUGGACCUGUACUGACGCUCAUGCACGAAAGCGUGGGGAGCAAACAGGAUUAGAUACCCUGGUAGUCCCAUG
rnacentral:rRNA from 1 species